ACUUCAUGGUUUGGGCAUUGAGAAAGCUUACUGUUAAACCUCUCCCAAUCUUCAAACAAUGGUUCUUCAUUCAUUUGUUGAAAAUUGACAAUCUCAUCCUGCUUUU